CCUACGGGGGGCAGCAGUGGGGAAUAUUGCACAAUGGGGGGAACCCUGAUGCAGCGACGCCGCGUGGGUGAAGGAGCACCUCGGUGCGUAAAGCCCUAUCGGCAGGGAAGAAAAGCGAACAGGUUCGCCUGGACGGUACCUGACUAAGAAGCCCCGGCUAACUACGUGCCAGCAGCCGCGGUAAUACGUAGGGGGCAAGCGUUAUCCGGAUUCACUGGGUGUAAAGGGAGCGUAGACGGCGGCGCAAGUCUGGAGUGAAAGCCCGGGGCCCAACCCCGGGACUGCUCUGGAAACUGCGGCGCUGG
rnacentral:rRNA from 1 species